GGGUGAGUAAUGCAUAGGAAACUGCCCAGUAGUGGGGGAUAGCCCGGGGAAACCCGGAUUAAUACCGCAUACGUCCUUCGGGAGAAAGCAGGGGAUCUUCGGACCUUGCGCUAUUGGAUGUGCCUAUGUCGGAUUAGCUAGUUGGUGAGGUAAUGGCUCACCAAGGCGACGAUCCGUAGCUGGUCUGAGAGGAUGAUCAGCCACAUCGGGACUGAGACACGGCCCGAACUCCUACGGGAGGCAGCAGUGGGGAAUAUUGGACAAUGGGGGAAACCCUGAUCCAGCCAUGCCGCGUGUGUGAAGAAGGCUUUCGGGUUGUAAAGCACUUUCAGUGAGGAGGAAAAGUUAGUCCCUAAUACGGGCUAGCCUUGACGUUACUCACAGAAGAAGCACCGGCUAACUCCGUGCCAGCAGCCGCGGUAAUACGGAGGGUGCAAGCGUUAAUCGGAAUUACUGGGCGUAAAGCGCGCGUAGGUGGUUUGAUAAGCGAGAUGUGAAAGCCCCGGGCUUAACCUGGGAACGGCAUUUCGAACUGUCAAGCUAGAGUAUGGUAGAGGGUAGUGGAAUUUCCUGUG
rnacentral:rRNA from 1 species